UACGGAAGGCAGCAGUGGGGAAUAUUGCACAAUGGGCGCAAGCCUGAUGCAGCCAUGCCGCGUGUAUGAAAAAGGCCUUCGGGUUGUAAAGUACUUUCAGUCGUGAGGAAGGUGUUAAGGUUAAUAACCUUAGCAAUUGACGUUAGCGACAGAAGAAGCACCGGCUAACUCCGUGCCAGCAGCCGCGGUAAUACGGAGGGUGCGAGCGUUAAUCGGAAUUACUGGGCGUAAAGGGCACGCAGGCGGUUAAUUAAGUUGGAUGUGAAAUCCCCGGGCUUAACCUGGGAAUGGCAUUCAAGACUGGUUAGCUAGAGUCUUGUAGAGGGGGUUAGAAUUCCAUGUGUAGCGGUGAAAUGCGUAGAGAUGUGGAGGAAUACCGGUGGCGAAGGCGGCCCCUGGACAAAGGACUGACGCUCAUGUGCGAAAGCGUGGGGAGCAAACAGGGAUUAGAUACC
rnacentral:rRNA from 1 species